rnacentral:rRNA from 1 species
GAUGAACGCUGGCGGCGUGCCUAAUACAUGCAAGUCGAGCGAACGGACGAGAAUCUUGCUUCUCUGAUGUUAGCGGCGGACGGGUGAGUAACACGUGGAUAACCUACCUAUAAGACUGGGAUAACUUCGGGAAACCGUAGCUAAUACCGGAUAAUAUUUUGAACCGCAUGGUUCAAAAGUGAAAGACGGUCUUGCUGUCACUUAUAGAUGGAUCCGCGCUGCAUUAGCUAGUUGGUAAGGUAACGGCUUACCAAGGCAACGAUGCAUAGCCGACCCGAGAGGGUGAUCGGCCACACUGGAACUGAGACACGGUCCAGACUCCUACGGGAGGCAGCAGUAGGGAAUCUUCCGCAAUGGGCGAAAGCCUGACGGAGCAACGCCGCGUGAGUGAUGAAGGUCUUCGGAUCGUAAAACUCUGUUAUUAGGGAAGAACAUAUGUGUAAGUAACUGGGCACAUCUUGACGGUACCUAAUCAGAAAGCCACGGCUAACUACGUG